rnacentral:rRNA from 1 species
UACGAAGGGGGCUAGCGUUGCUCGGAAUCACUGGGCGUAAAGCGCACGUAGGCGGCUUUUUAAGUCAGAGGUGAAAUCCUGGAGCUCAACUCCAGAACUGCCUUUGAUACUGGAGAGCUUGAGCUCGGGAGAGGUGAGUGGAACUGCGAGUGUAGAGGUGAAAUUCGUAGAUAUUCGCAAGAACACCAGUGGCGAAGGCGGCUCACUGGCCCGGUACUGACGCUGAGGUGCGAAAGCGUGGGGAGCAACAGG